rnacentral:rRNA from 1 species
GAUGAACGCUGGCGGCGUGCCUAAUACAUGCAAGUCGAGCGAACAGACGAGGAGCUUGCUCCUCUGACGUUAGCGGCGGACGGGUGAGUAACACGUGGAUAACCUACCUAUAAGACUGGGAUAACUUCGGGAAACCGGAGCUAAUACCGGAUAAUAUAUUGAACCGCAUGGUUCAAUAGUGAAAGACGGUUUUGCUGUCACUUAUAGAUGGAUCCGCGCCCCAUUAGCUAGUUGGUAAGGUAACGGCUUACCCAGGAGGCGAUGCGUAGCCGACCUGGAAGGGUGAUCGGCCAAACAGGAACUGAGACACGGUCCAGACUACUACGGGAGGCAGCAGUAGGGAAUCUUCCGCAAUGGGCGAAAGCCUGACGGAGCAACGCCGCGUGAGUGAUGAAGGUCUUCGGAUCGUAAAACUCUGUUAUUAGGGAAGAACAAAUGUGUAAGUAACUAUGCACGUCUUGACGGUACCUAAUCAGAAAGCCACGGCUAACUACGUG